AUUGAACGCUGGCGGCAGGCUUAACACAUGCAAGUCGAGCGGGGGAAGGUAGCUUGCUACCGGACCUAGCGGCGGACGGGUGAGUAAUGCUUAGGAAUCUGCCUAUUAGUGGGGGACAACAUCUCGAAAGGGAUGCUAAUACCGCAUACGUCCUACGGGAGAAAGCAGGGGAUCUUCGGACCUUGCGCUAAUAGAUGAGCCUAAGUCGGAUUAGCUAGUUGGUGGGGUAAAGGCCUACCAAGGCGACGAUCUGUAGCGGGUCUGAGAGGAUGAUCCGCUACACUGGAACUGAGUCACGGCCCAGACUCCUACGGGAGGCAGCAGUGGGGAAUAUUGGACAAUGGGGGGAACCCUGAUCCAGCCAUGCCGCGUGUGUGAAGAAGGCCUUAUGGUUGUAAAGCACUUUAAGCGAGGAGGAGGCUACUCUGGUUAAUACCUAGGGAUAGUGGACGUUACUCGCAGAAUAAGCACCGGCUAACUCUGUGCCAGCCGCCGCCGUAA
rnacentral:rRNA from 1 species